GUCUACGGCCAUACCACCCUGAAUGUGCCCAAUCUCAUCUGAUCUCGGAAGCUAAGCAGGAUUGGGCCUGGUUAGUACUCAGAUGGGAGACUGCCUGGGAAUACCUAGUGCUGUAGGCU
ensembl:rRNA 5S_rRNA 5S ribosomal RNA